rnacentral:rRNA from 1 species
UACGGGGGGGGUAAGCGUUGUUCGGAAUUACUGGGCGUAAAGGGCUCGUAGGCGGCCAACUAAGCCGGACGUGAAAUCCCUCAGCUUAACUGGGGAACUGCGUCCGAUACUGGAUGGCUUGGAUUUGGGAGAGGGAUGCGGAAUUCCAGGUGUAGCGGUGAAAUGCGUAGAUAUCUGGAGGAACACCGGUGGCGAAGGCGGCAUCCUGGACCAAUAUUGACGCUGAGGAGCGAAAGCUAGGGGAGCAAACGGG